CCUACGGGAGGCAGCAGUGGGGAAUCUUGCGCAAUGCGCGAAAGCGUGACGCAGCAACGCCGCGUGAGGGAAGACGGCCUUCGGGUUGUAAACCUCUUUCAGUUGGGACGAAGCCACGGCGGUUAAUACCCGUCUGUGGUGACGGUACCUUCAGAAGAAGCCCCGGCUAACUACGUGCCAGCAGCCGCGGUAAUACGUAGGGGGCAAGCGUUGUCCGGAAUCAUUGGGCGUAAAGCGCGUGUAGGCGGCUUGGUAAGUCCGCUCUGAAAGCCCGGGGCUCAACCCCGGGAGGCGGGUGGAUACUGUCAAGCUCGAGUCCGGAAGAGGCGAGUGGAAUUCCUGGUGUAGCGGUGAAAUGCGCAGAUAUCAGGAGGAACACCAAUGGCGAAGGCAGCUCGCUGGACGUGACUGACGCUGAGACGCGAAAGCGUGGGGAGCAAACAGGAUUAGAUACCCUGGUAGUCCACGCCGUAAACGAUGGGCACUAGGUGUGGGGUAGGUGUCGACUCCUCCGUCGCGACGCUACGCAUAGUAGCCCGCCGUCGGGAGGUACGGCCGCGACGGACGUAAACGUACGAAACGAAGUAGACGGCGUGAGACGCGCCGACGGACGACGACGAGGGAGGAGG
rnacentral:rRNA from 1 species